AACUUUCAGCAACGGAUCUCUUGGCUCUCGCAUCGAUGAAGAACGCA
rnacentral:rRNA from 2 species